UACGAAGGUCCCAAGCGUUAUCCGGAUUUAUUGGGUUAAAGGGUGGCGUAGGCGGCUUAUUAAGGUCAGUGGUGAAAGCUCCAUGACUUAACAUGGAAAUUGCCAUUUGAAUACUGAUGAGCUUGAGUGAUAUUUGAAGUGGGCGGAAUGUGUCGUGUAGCGGAUGAAAUGCUUAGGAUAUGACGACAGAACACCGGAUUGCGUAGGCAGCUCACUAAACUAUAACUGACGACUGAGGCACGGAAAGCAAUGGGGAUCAAAGCAGG
rnacentral:rRNA from 1 species